AGCAGCCGCGGUAAUUCCAGCUCCAAUAGCGUAUAUUAAAGUUGUUGCAGUUAAAAAGCUCGUAGUUGAAUUUCGGGAUCAAUAUGUCUGUCGUGCCUUUGGUACGUACGGGUAUAAUUGGUUUCUACCUUCUGAUGAACCUUGAUGCCAUUAAUUUGGUGUCUUGGGGACUCAGGACUGUUACCUUGAAAAAAUUAGAGUGUUUAAAGCAGGCAUACGCUUGAAUACAUUAGCAUGGAAUAAUGAAAUAGGACGUUCGAUUCUAUUUUGUUGGUUUCUAGGAUCGACGUAAUGAUUAAUAGGGAUAGUUGGGGGCGAUUAGUAUUCAAUUGUCAGAGGUGAAAUUCUUGGAUUUAUUGAAGACUAACUACUGCGAAAGCAUUUGCCAAGGAUGUUUUCAUUAAUCAAGAACGAAAGUUAGGGGAUCGAAGACGAUCAGAUACCGUCGUA
rnacentral:rRNA from 1 species